rnacentral:lncRNA from 1 species
AAAUUAAUUACUUUUUCAAUUUUACAUGGUUCUUUUGUUUUUUCCAGACACACAGAUUUGGAGAAUUCAUUAGGUGUUUAGCUUUUCUUAGCUGGGGUGUAUCGUUGUUACUAGUGUUCCUACAAGUCUUCAAAAACAAAAGGGAGGAAGGGUGAAUGAAUCUCAGAAACCAGGACCAUCCACUGGUAUUGUUAAUGUUAUUGAAGUACCACUUAAUGGUGGUCCCUGAGACAGCUGAUGUUUUAUAUUAACCUGUGGAAAUAGUUUUUCAGAAAUACUUUGUUUUCAGAACAUUGUGGUUAUGGUGGCAAUAAUGGGUGUGUGAGUAUGUGUAUAUCCCGACUUGAGAGUGACGUGCUAUUUUAAACAGCUUAGGAGAGCCCAGCUUCUGUCCCUGAAUGUAUAACUCAUACUAAAACCUACAGUUGUGUGCAUUUAUAGAAACACAAGCAUUAGUACCUGCCAGGUUCAGAAUAUUGUGGCUGAUGAACUGCAGGAUUUAUGGAUGGAAAGGAUUCAUGUUCAACCACUUCUACUGAAAACUUCUCUGCUUUACUUUCCAGUAUAGAAAAGCAAGGUUUACUGCGCUCCUAGGUAUAGAGCUUGCCAGGAAUUGUCUGGUUUAGGCUUGCUUGCCAUGUUCUGGAAAUACUUUCACUGCUUGUUAGUUGAUUCUCCCACAAGUCAGCUUCUAGACUGUUUUCCAUAGCUUCAUAUACACUUCUACAGCUCUCACUUCUGCUGUAUUCAAUGUCUUUCAGUCUUACAUUAAUUGCUCCCCACCAGGCAUUUACAAGAUUUGGAAACCUUGUUGGUUGGGGGACUUUUUUUUAACCAGAUGGAAAUUUUAACUUCAAGAGGUAAAAUUUAUUUCUAAAGGAUAAACAGAUGCCACAACUUGAAUUUGAGUCUUUGAUCAUUUGAUCAUGUUCUCUUUACAGCUUCUUCACAGUCCUUUUGAACCUUGGAAUUUCUUCAGAUUUUCUUUCCUUCUCUAGAGAGUUAGUGUUUGACUUUUUUCUUCCCUCUCUCCCCUGAAAAGUUUUGUUUGCUUCAGAUGCUUGACAGUUUUCUCAGCAGUAUUAAAGUACAGUGCUCAACAUAAGUAUUUGGUUGAAUCUCCAGAAGGGGUUCAUUAUAUUAUUUAUUUGUCUUGGUAGUUAUUCUGAAAACAAAUUUCUUGAGUAAAAUAGGAAGUGAAAGCCUAUGUGAAUAACAAAAGACUCUGGGUCUUAUGGAAUAUUGUGUGCUAUAGUUUUUAAAAUAGAGAUGGGUAACUGAGAUGUGAUUUUUGUUGGUUUUGUUUUAUAAAUUAGAUGAAUUAUUAAUUUAUGCCACUUGCUUUUGAAGCACCUUAAUUCUCAGAAACCUAAUAGAAACUUAACAUUAGAAGGAUCACCUAAAUUCCAAGCUCAUUUUAGACAACUGAAAGUAAGCUUCAGCCUGCAUCUCUAGUUUGAUUAUACUGAUUGCUAGUUUGAUUAUACUGUGGUCUAGUAACUAUGGGUGUGGGUAUCAAUGGUUCAGGUAUAAUCAUGAUGGGAGGGAUAAAUAAACACUACAAUGAAACUAAAACUUACUUAAACACUAAAAAGAAACUUGGCAUUCAGUUAACAAAAGUGCUGGUACAGGGCGAACUUAAAAAUUCUUUAAGCUGGUGCUACAGUGCUGAUGUUCCAUUUUUUUUUUGUUGGAGGCAUGUGCCUUCCAUGGCUUGUGUGACAGCUAAUAGUUGUCUUAACCAUUUAAAAAAUAUAUAUUUGUGUAUCUUUGAUUCAUGUGUGUUUGCUUGGAAAACUGAACUUUGCCACUGAGGGAGGAGACCACAACCAAAGCUCUUGAAGGCAAGUGGAGGUAGCAGGAGAUAAAGGGCUGAACAGAUCCAUCUUCUGAUGGUGACAACAAGCACUCGGGCCAGCCCUCAAAUAUAACUCUUACUCCAGCAGCAAUUAACAGGGCUUGGCUGCUGGAGACACCUGCUGUGGCAGCUGCACAUUUUACAGAGCAGCAUGCCCAUCUGGGUCAGUCCUAGCUCAGUGCCAGCUUGUCCAGGUGAGUGAUGUGUGAUCCUAGGGCUGCCACAGAGCUGCAGGGGCAGGAAUCAGCUCCUGUGUAGACAUCUCUGAUUCCCUUGUCAUUCUUGGUCAGUGAUGAGUGACCAAGGAAAAUGUCAGUCACUCAGAGGGGGGUUCCUGAUCUACAGCACGUGCAGCCACCAAGGUACAAAGGACUAAUUCCAUCAGUAGCUGCAGAAGGCUGUGGCUUGCUGCAGGUUGAUUUUUAACAGCAUACGAUGGGUUUCAAGAACAGUGAUGUGCUUCUGCAGGAUUUCUGAGGGGAAUUCCCUUGUGCUUGACUGCUUUAAUUUCCUUUAAAAUGGGUGAAGGCAAUAAACACCGCUACACUGAGAGAAUGCCAUUUGUUAAAAACUUUGUUCUGAAAUAUUACGUGGAGAGUGAAGAACAAGUUUCUGUAUAUCUUUCCAAAUGUGUAAGACAGUGUAAAGAUCAAUCCGUGUAUUUUCCCUAGUACAGCAGAGUAGGCAAGCAAACUAGUACCGAAUAGGUGUUCGUGAAGCUCUUUGGCAUUUCUGGGGUGUGUGCCCCAGGUAACUGAAGGGUCAGAGAUUUGUGGAAGAUUAAUUGCAUUGUACAAGAUAAUGAAAGUGCAGCCUGCCUUAAAUCCACUUUUUGUGGUCCAUACUUAUAUGAAAUAAGCCUAUGUCAGGGAGAUGUGAUUUAAAGAAAAUGGCUUGCAUUGAUGAGUCUUGUUGGGUUGAUCUUAUUCCCACUGCUUUGCUCCUGUUAUGGAGAAAACCCAGGUUAUAUUGAUUUUAGAACAGCUGGAGUUAUAUCUAGACAAAGAAUUACAAAUUUAUGACUUGCUCCAUCUGCCAGCAAGAUGCAGCUGUGCUUUGAAUGUGGAAAAUGAAUAGCAGACCAUUUACUUCACCUUCUGUAGAACUGCCUUAUGCUAAAGAGCAAUCCCCACUUCUCCUUCUAGCAUCGGGCACUGAAAUGACAACUCGGUUAGUGGAUGCUUCAUUCCUGUUUCUCUUUUCUCAGUCUGGUGUUUCCUCCAAGGUUUCUGAGACAGGAAAAUAAAUCCUCCAAUAUGUUUUUUAAUUCAGUGUGAUUUUUUUUUUUCCCUAACAACCCCCUCUCCAUCCUCCCCCACCCUCCUCAAAAAAAAAAAUCCCCCUAAUUAUUAUUAUAUAUUAUAUUAUUAUUAUAAAGUAUUAUGCCUAACAAUGAGUCUAUUGUUUUUCUUGCUGUAUGCUAUUUUGUCUUUUUUCUGAUUUUUUUUUUUCCUCUUUUAGUAGUGAAAUGGGCAAGAGGAAAGAGUGAAACAAAUUUUGCAGCCUCGGGAAGUUAUUUAAUAAAACUUGCAAAACGAUUUGGCUUAGAAUUCCCAGGGGGAAAUAAAAUUAAUGCUUUGCAGAAGUAUCACCACCAACCCCCACUUAAAAAAAAAAAAAAAGAUACCCAAUAAACAUGUGUUCUCCGCUUUUCAGCUUGAAUCCCAGCAUGUGAAGUGGUUUGCGUAUGAUCACACCAGGAAGAGCACUUCGUGGUCUGAACACAUUUUCCAUCAAGGCUCUGCUGAGCGUUUUGAGACCCAUCUUUGUCUGCAGUGCUUUUGCUCCUCUGAAUACUCACUUUUCCAACUUAGUUGGCUGAACAAGAGUUUGAACAGAGAUUGAAGCAGAAGAAUUCAUGAGAUAGUGGGGAAAAUGGGGCUAGCUUUUUUGCCUGCCCUGAAAUGCUCAGAUCUGGUUGUUUAAGACCAUCUUGUUUUUCCUUGCAGCUCCUGUUAGUAAAGUGGAAGUGCAACUCUUUGCUCCACUCUGUGGUUGAGAAGUGCAUCAUCACAUCAUGAUGUGCUGUGGUCAGACCGCAGGGCAGAAUGGAGAGCUGCUGGUUUUUAAGAAUUGCAGAUGCAGUGCAAUCAACUUCUGUUUAUUUUUCUGAGCUGGUUCCUCAUCUCAAAUGAGUAGAGGUGCUGCUAACUAACUGUGUGAGAGCUGGAUGAAUGAGCACCAAACAUCAUCUUCAUGCAGUUCUUUAUUUUAGCUUUGGCAAAGAUGGCAUUGGCCGGCUGGUUGUAUUUGUGUGUGUGUAGGUGUGUGUGUGUGUGUGAAUUUCACGUAGUUCAGUAAGGCCAGGUGUAAGGUGUCCUGCAUAUAGGUCGGGGCAAUCUCAAGCACAAAUACAGGCUGGGUGGAGAAUGGAUUAAAUACAGUCCUCCAGAUAAGGAUGUGGGGUGGUGUUGGCUGAUGGAAAAACUCAACGUGAGGCAGUAGUAUGUGUGUGCAACUUAGAAAGCCAACUGUAUUCCAGCCUGUAUCAAAAGAGGUGUGGCCAGCAGGGAAAGGGAGGUAAUUGUCCCCCUCUACUUCAUUCUUGGGAAGCCUCACCUGGAGUACUGCAUUCAGCUCUGGAUACCCA